rnacentral:rRNA from 1 species
GGUUAGUGGCGGACUGGUGAGUAACACGUAAGCAACCUGCCUGUUAGAGGGGAAUAACAGUGAGAAAUCACUGCUAAAACCGCAUAUGCCGUGAACAUCGCAUGAUGAAAACGGGAAAAGAGCAAUCUGCUAAUAGAUGGGCUUGCGUCUGAUUAGCUAGUUGGUGUGGUAAAGGCAUACCAAGGCAACGAUCAGUAGCCGGACUGAGAGGUUGAACGGCCACAUUGGGACUGAGAUACGGCCCAGACUCC